rnacentral:rRNA from 1 species
GACGAACGCUGGCGGCGUGCUUAAAACAUGCAAGUCGAACGGACUUCUCAUGAAGCUUGCGAUUGAGAAGUUAGUGGCGGACGGGUGAGUAACGCGUGGGCAACCUGCCCCUGAGCCCGGGAUAACAGUUCGAAAGGACUGCUAAGACCGGAUAUACUUGCGGUGAAGCAUUUCACUGCAAGGAAAGGGAACGCUCAGGGAUGGGCCCGCGUCCCAUUAGCUAGUUGGUGAGGUAACGGCCCACCAAGGCGACGAUGGGUAGCCGGCCUGAGAGGGUGAACGGCCACACUGGGACUGAGACACGGCCCAGACUCCUACGGGAGGCAGCAGUUGGGAAUCUUCGGCAAUGGGCGCAAGCCUGACCGAGCAACGCCGCGUGAGUGAUGAAGGUUUUCGGAUUGUAAAGCUCUGUCUUCCGGGACGAUAAUGACGGUACCGGAGGAGGAAGCCACGGCUAAACUACGUG